rnacentral:rRNA from 1 species
UACGGGAGGCAGCAGUGGGGAAUAUUGCACAAUGGGCGCAAGCCUGAUGCAGCCAUGCCGCGUGUAUGAAGAAGGCCUUCGGGUUGUAAAGUACUUUCAGUCGUGAGGAAGGUGUUAAGGUUAAUAACCUUAGCAAUUGACGUUAGCGACAGAAGAAGCACCGGCUAACUCCGUGCCAGCAGCCGCGGUAAUACGGAGGGUGCGAGCGUUAAUCGGAAUUACUGGGCGUAAAAGGGCACGCAGGCGGUUAAUUAAGUUGGAUGUGAAAUCCCCGGGCUUAACCUGGGAAUGGCAUUCAAGACUGGUUAGCUAGAGUCUUGUAGAGGGGGUAGAAUUCCAUGUGUAGCGGUGAAAUGCGUAGAGAUGUGGAGGAAUACCGGGUGGCGAAGGCGGCCCCUGGGACAAAGACUGACGCUCAUGUGCGAAAGCGUGGGGAGCAAACAGGGAUUAGAUACC